UGUCCAAGCUGUGCUGAUAUC
rnacentral:siRNA from 1 species